GACGAACGCUGGCGGCGUGCUUAACACAUGCAAGUCGAACGGAAAGGCCCUGCUUUUGUGGGGUGCUCGAGUGGCGAACGGGUGAGUAACACGUGAGUAACCUGCCCUUGACUUUGGGAUAACUUCAGGAAACUGGGGCUAAUACCGUAUAGGAGCUCCUGCUGCAUGGUGGGGGUUGGAAAGUUUCGGCGGGUGGGGAUGGACUCGCGGCUUAUCAGCUUGUUGGUGGGGUAGUGGCUUACCAAGGCUUUGACGGGUAGCCGGCCUGAGAGGGUGACCGGCCACAUUGGGACUGAGAUACGGCCCAGACUCCUACGGGAGGCAGCAGUGGGGAAUAUUGCACAAUGGGCGGAAGCCUGAUGCAGCAACGCCGCGUGCGGGAUGACGGCCUUCGGGUUGUAAACCGCUUUCGCCUGUGACGAAGCGUGAGUGACGGUAAUGGGUAAAGAAGCACCGGCUAACUACGUG
rnacentral:rRNA from 1 species